UACGAAGGGGGCUAGCGUUGCUCGGAAUCACUGGGCGUAAAGGGUGCGUAGGCGGGUCUUUAAGUCAGGGGUGAAAUCCUGGAGCUCAACUCCAGAACUGCCUUUGAUACUGAGGAUCUUGAGUUCGGGAGAGGUGAGUGGACUGCGAGUGUAGAGGUGAAAUUCGUAGAUAUUCGCAAGAACACCAGUGGCGAAGGCGGCUCACUGGCCCGAUACUGACGCUGAGGCACGAAAGCGUGGGGAGCAAACAGGG
rnacentral:rRNA from 1 species